GGGUCCUGUGUCAUUCCUUGUGACACUGAGUAGAGUGAGGGUCCUGUUGCCAUUGGACAGCUGCAGCCUGGGACUGACUGGGAGGCUCUGAUUGUUUAUCCACCACAGCUUCCCUGUCUGAGGACAUCCUAGAGAUGGGUGAUGAUGGGACUUCCUAUUGUCCUUAAACCCUGAGGAUACUGAGCAGCCUGGCCUGGGACUGUAUGUUUCAGCAGAAAUAACAGGGGACACCAGGGGCAAGCCUGAAGGUCAGCUCAGUCGUCAGGCAGCAGAACCACAAGGGUCUGGAGUACACUGCAGCCUCAACCUCCUGCGAUCAGGUGAUCUUCCUGCCUCAGUCUCCCAUGUAGCUGGAACUAUAGGUGCACACCACCACGCCUGGCUAAUUUUUUGUUUUAUUUUUCAAUUUUUUUUUAAAUAAAGAGACAGGGUAUCACUAUGUUGCCCAGGCUGGCCUUGAACUCCUAAGCUCAAGUGAUCCUCCGCCUAGGCCUCCCAAAGUGCUAGGAUUACAGCCACCAUGCCCAGCCAAGUGUUUUGAUUUUUUUGUAGAGACUGAUCUUAUUAUGUUGGUCAGGCUGGUCUUGAACUCCUGGGCUCAAGCAAUCCUCCCGUCUCGGCCUUCCAAAGUGCUAAGAUUAUAGGUGUGACCCACCGCAACCGGCCUGACUAUAGUUAACAAUAAUAUAUAGUUCCAAGUAGCUAGAAAGGGGAUAUUGAAUGUUCCUAACACAAAGAAAUGCUAAAUGUUUGAGAUGAUGGAUAUGCUAAUCACCCUGACCUUAUCACUGUACCUUAUAUGUAUCACAUCGCUAUGGACCCAUAAAUAUGUACAAUUAUUAGGUGUCAAUUAAAAAAUACAAUUAAAAAAGUCAUUUAGAGCUAAA